GUGCAGGGAUGGACUCUGACUUAUUUACCGUACAAAUCCAUUAUGAUGGAUCUUUCAAAUACCAUCCAACCUACCAUUACAGUCAGGAUAGUAGUCGAUACUUUGAUAAUUGUGAUAAAAAUAGAUUUAGUAUCAUAGAGAUAGAGAACAUGAUGAGCCAGUUAAAGUACACAAAUUGUACGCACUUUUAUUACCUAAUGCCAAGAC
rnacentral:lncRNA from 1 species